GUAUUCAUUGUGUGCGCUACAAACCGAAAUUGCUUCAACAUAUGAUGGGUAAUCUUCCUGUUGAGCGAUUAACACCAACACGCCCAUUCUCUCGUUGCGGCGUCGAUUUCUGUGGACCUGUCAACAUCUAUCUUCGCGUCAGGGGCAAAAUACCCUAUAAAGCUUAUAUUGCCAUAUUUGUUUGCUUCGCGACAAAGGCUGUCCACAUCGAAGUCGUUUCUGACUUGUCUACGGAUGCAUUUUUGGCAUCACUCAAACGAAUGAUUGGAAGAAGAGGUCUUCCAUCAGAUAUUUAUUCUGAUGAUGCAACUAAUUUCGUCGGAGCUUACAGCAAACUUUCAGAACUGAAAGCCUUUCUUUUCAAGAAGGAAACUAAAGAUGUCAUCACAAAUUAUUGCGCUAAUCAAUUUAUUAAUUUUCAUUUUAUCCCUCCUAGGGCACCUCAUUUUGGUGGCAUUUGGGAGGCCGCAGUUAAAUCAGCCACAGGCAUCACUCAAACGAAUGAUUUGAAUCGUAGCGUUAUGAAUACCAAGUUAACAUACGAGGAACUCACUACAGCCUUAGUAGAAAUAGAAGCAGUUCUAAAUUCUUGGCCUCUAUCACCACUUUCGUCUGACCCUAGCGACUACGAAGCUUUGACUCCAGGUCAUUUCUUAACUGGUAGUGCGCUAAAGAGUCUUCCGGAGCGAGCAGUAGCUGACAACGUCAAUCAAGUCAACAGAUGGAAUCAAAUAACUGCCGUCAAACAAAUAUUUUGGAAACGUUGGUCACACGACUAUAUAAGCGAUCUGCAAGCGAGAACAAAGUGGAACACGCAAUGGUUCUUAUCCAUGAGGACAAUGUACCACCGCAACGAUGGCUAAUUGGUCGUGUCAUAGAUGCUAUCCCAGGAAAGGAUGCACGAGUCAGAGUGGUUGAUGUGCGAACCUCAAAGGGUAUAAUUCGUCGCCCAGUCCACAAGACUGCAGUUUUACCUGUUUGAAAGUCCUUUCAACGGGGCCGGAAUGUUGGGUCACCUAACGUUACACCCUAAUAAUUAUUAAGUUAUUUUAAGUUUAAUCACUCAUAUAUAAGAGCACAAACUCAAUUGUACUAACAAACUAAGGUAUUAUAAAUUGUACGUGCAUAAUGCUCCCACACAACUCAUUUGUAUAUACACACGUAUGCUUGUUUACAUAUGUUUGCAGCAACAUAACAGCGAGAGUUUUUGUCACUCCUUUUGUGUGACUCUUUCGCUUGUGCAUGCAUAUGGACAUCCAUCGAAAAUAUUAGCAUAAGUCUAAUCAUUGUACCUAAUUACAUUUUUUACAUUAAAUAAUUUAGUCUACGGCUGACCACCAAGGCGACACGUUUGAUUUCCUCGUUCUUCUUUCAAUUUAAUUACAUAGCCCAAAUUCUCAUAUAAGUCAUUGUUGUUUCGUUGAACUAACGCGGUUGGGAAAAACUCUUCCUGAUCCUACAGUACCAAAAUAGUGAAGAAUUAUUUAUCAAAUAUCGGGUCUCUACUUUGGAGUGGGCAGGUAACAGUCCGCAUUUCAAUCCCAUUGAGAACCUUUGGUUUAUAAUGAAGGCUCAGGCAGCACAGAAGAGACCAAAGAAUUUAGCAGAGCCGUGAUAUAACGGUAUUGGAGCAAUAACAAUAAAAAACCUCAUAAAUUCAAUGCCAGAGCGUAUAAAAGCCGUUAUAAAAAGCAAAGGAGGUUUGACAAAAUACUAAAAAGAGUGCUUUUGUAUAAAUUAAUAUUUCCUUUAACUAAAACUCUAUAAUCAUUUCUCUAAUGUAAAUAAAAAAAAUUAGUCACUGUUUAUAUUGCUAGUUACCAAAAUGAUACAAUAUCUAAAAUGAAUAAAAAAUAAAUUUAUUUGUGCAA